GGAUGUGAGGGCGAUCUGGCUGCGACAUCUGUCACCCCAUUGAUCGCCAGGGUUGAUUCGGCUGAUCUGGCUGGCUAGGCGGGUGUCCCCUUCCUCCCUCACCGCUCCAUGUGCGUCCCUCCCGAAGCUGCGCGCUCGGUCGAAGAGGACGACCUUCCCCGAAUAGAGGAGGACCGGUCUUCGGUCAAGGGUAUACGAGUAGCUGCGCUCCCCUGCUAGAACCUCCAAACAAGCUCUCAAGACUUAUUUUUAUUUGUAAAGUAUGUGGAUAUGUGUGGAUAUGUAUAUGUGAGUGCUGGUGCCCAC
rnacentral:snRNA from 14 species